UAGGGAAUCUUCCACAAUGGGCGCAAGCCUGAUGGAGCAACACCGCGUGAGUGAAGAAGGGUUUCGGCUCGUAAAGCUCUGUUGUUAAAGAAGAACGUGGGUAAGAGUAACUGUUUACCCAGUGACGGUAUUUAACCAGAAAGCCACGGCUAACUACGCGCCAG
rnacentral:rRNA from 1 species